rnacentral:rRNA from 1 species
UACGUAGGGUGCGAGCGUUAAUCGGAAUUACUGGGCGUAAAGCGUGCGCAGGCGGCUCUGCAAGUCGAGUGUGAAAUCCCCGAGCUUAACUUGGGAAUUGCGCUCGAAACUAUGGAGCUGGAGUGUGGCAGAGGAAGGUGGAAUUCCACGUGUAGCGGUGAAAUGCGUAGAGAUGUGGAGGAACACCGAUGGCGAAGGCAGCCUUCUGGGCCAACACUGACGCUCAUGCACGAAAGCCAGGGGAGCGAACGGG